UUUGCACAUUGUUAGAACUCGGAGGUGAGACCAUUGUGGUCGAUGAACUCCGAGUGUAGGAGAUGUGCUACAUGAUCAUGCAGGUGCCUUUAACACUGCUCGAGCCUGUGGCUCAGUGAGUAAGGUUUUGUAGUAACCCCUGCUACAAUG